rnacentral:rRNA from 1 species
AGGCAGCAGUGGGGAAUAUUGCACAAUGGGGGGAAACCCUGAUGCAGCCAUGCCGCGUGUGUGAAGAAGGCCUUCGGGUUGUAAAGCACUUUCAGUAGGGAGGAAGGUAGUGUAGUUAACACCUGCAUUAUUUUGACGUUACCUACAGAAGAAGCACCGGCCUAACUCCGUGCCAGCAGCCGCGGUAAUACGGAGGGUGCGAGCGUUUAAUCGGAAUUACUGGGCGUAAAAGCGCAUGCAGGCGGCCUGUUUAAGUCAGAUGUGAAAGCCCGGGGCUUAACCUCGGAAUUGCAUUUGAAACUGGCAGGCUAGAGUCUUGUAGAGGGGGUAGAAUUUCAGGUGUAGCGGUGAAAAUGCGUAGAGAUCUGAAGGAAUACCAGUGGCGAAGGCGGCCCCCUGGACAAAGACUGACGCUCAGAUGCGAAAGCGUGGGGAGCAAACAGGAUUAGAUACCCUGGUAA